rnacentral:lncRNA from 1 species
GGAGUGGCUGGAUGCUGGGACCCAGCUUUUGCGCUAUGCAGCAGACAACCUACACUAGCAUCUACAGGAAAGCCAAGACAUAGAAACAUCUUUUACCUACCUUGGACACUGUGUCCUCAUAAAAUGAAAAUAAAAAAAAAAAUUCUUAAAGUUACUAAAACAGGGGUCAAGUUCUUCCAGGAUGUUUGACCUUGAGUAUGUGGCAAGGCAAGUCACAAACCUUGAUUUCCUUACACGAGCAGCCAUAAUAAUUACAUUAGACAAGGACAGUCUAAUGUAAUUAUCUACUACAACUAAACUAACUACAACUAAAGCAAAUUAAGCUACUACCAUCCAAUGUAUUCAGCUCUGGCUGCAUACUCUCUUCUCCAAAUGACUUGCCUUAACCCGGGGAUCAGUAAGGUCUGUUGGUAGUGGUUAUUCACCUCAUUUCUACUCAAAACACCUAAAGGAUAUAGAACUUGUCUUACCAACAACUUUCCUGUCCUAUUUGGUAGGAAAGGAAAGACAGCUUGAGAAGACCUAAUAGUAAGAAUGCUUUUAAUGCAGAUGGAUUGUAAAAUAGGGAUAAUGAACAAGUUGUACAGAGACUAAGAGAGAGACGUCAAUUUAGAAAUUAGGUAAAAGGUUUAACAAUCGUUGGAAUCACAUCCACUAAGGGGACUGUAUUAAGGCGACCAGGACCAAGGCCAUUCAGCACUCUCCCAGCCUGGAGCUCUUCAGGGCUCUUCCCAACUCCAUUCCUAAGAAAGUUUCUGAGCUCUUUCUCCAGCUCCCAUGUCAUUUACAGAGAUAAUUGGCAUAUGAAUGAUAAAUGUAGGACUAGUUCUGGCCUACAUGAUUCCUUUAUGACAAAUGUCACCAGACCUAUUUCUGAAAAUGCCUAGGAUCUGUUAGAGAGAGAGUAUCUGAUGACCAAAUACAUGUCUGUGCCCUAUCGGGGUAUGCUCGGUGCUAGGACAUGGCUGGUCAGGAGUGAAGAGUGAGAAGGCUGCACCUGGCAUAUAGCAUCAGCAUCUCUCUGGGAUCUUGUCACCAUUGCACAAAGAUCUCUUGAAAGAAGGGAAAUUCCUCCCAUAUCGAACAAGUACAGUUCUAUAAUGUGAAAGAGCACUGAAUUCUACAGUUUCAUGGGAUGUCCAGUAGUAUCUUUUUAAUAACUCACCAUUUAAUACUUCUGGUCUUGUUUACUUAUGUGUAAAAUGAGAGGUCAGCAAAUGAGCUCUCUGUGAACACUUGCAUUUCUAUAAUAACAUAAUUCUUGGGACUCAGUAAUAUGUCCGUCAAAGAGAAAUGGUGGUAGAUGUUUUGUUAGAACUACUAGCUGCUUCUGCUUCUGAAACUGAAUUUAGGUAAAACCUAAAUGAGUUUUAGAAAUUGUCUUGGCUAGGUUUCUAUUGCUGUGAUAAAACACCAAUAUUAUGAGAAGAGGGUUUAUUACAGUUUAUAGUUGGAAUCUGUCAUGGAGGGAAGCCAGAGGCAGGAGCAUAGAGACAGGAACUAAAGAAGGGACCAUGUAGCAAUGCUGCUCACUGGCUUGCUCCCAGAGGCUUACUCAGCCUGCUUCCUUAUAUCAAGUGUCUAGGGAGGGCACUGCUAACAGUGAUCUGACCCCUGAAUAUCAAUGAUCAAUCAAUAAAAUGCCACCACAGGCUUACCUGUAGGCAAACGGAUGGGGCAUUUUCUCAAUUGCCUUUCCUCUUCUCAAAUAAUUCUAUCUGUGCCAAGUUGAAAAAAAAUUAACCAGGAAACAAUAGGGUGAGCAUGUAACUAAGAUGGUAAGUAGAUUGUGACUAUUAACAUAAAGACUGCUACUAAGAUGGUAAUUAGGGUGUGAUCAUAAGCAUACGAUAAACAAAGGCAGUCUUUGAGUUCCUCCUUGGGAAUGUACAAUAUGAACUACCAACACUUGAUCUAGAAGCAUGCAAAUACCUUCUUCCCCUGUGUAGAUAGCUGACAUAGCCUGAGAUUAGUAAUGAGGGUUCUCCUUCCCAGGAAACCUUGUCCACCAAAGCUGCCAGGGCACAUUGCACAUAUUGUAAUACAACUGAAAUAAGACUCGUUUGCCUGAUAAGAAAAUAAUUUCUUGUCACUAUGUAGUAUUGUCCACCAGAAGUUGUACUCAAACUAGUUUUCUCACAUCUAAACAGAGCUUGCGCUUCCUCUGUAGUCCUGUGCCUGCAGUCUGGAUCAAGGAAAGCUGACCUAUUUUUUUUAAUCUCCUAAGUAUGAUAAAAAAAAAAGUCCAGAAUCAUGACCCCAUCUAGGUAUCAAAUAAAAUCACCAACACUCAGGCUGCCUUUGACAUGUUUCUGUGGAAUGCUGGGUAGAGUAGCAAAACAACCUAGAGGUAUCAGCAAUGAUAAUAUUGUCCUUGAUCUAUCUUGAUUUGUGUAUAUCCCAGCCCUUGCACCAUCCACCAAUCAGUGUGGCUGAUUAGAUAUAAGCAUAAGGCAUUUGGGGAGCAUCAGCCCCUCUCCAAGUUGCUUGGCUACAAAGCGUCACUAAGGCAAUAUGUUGUCAUUACUGUGACACCAUAACAACUGGACUAAAAAUAUAUUUUGACUAAGAUUGGGAGCAUUGUGCUAUCAUUUGCACAGUUGUUUGUUUCUAGAAAUCCUUGUUCAGCUAAAGAAAAUGUUAUGGCUAGUAAUAUCAUUUUUAAUGUUCUUAGGGCAAAAUAAGGCCUAAAAGCUUUCUAUUUGUUGUGCUCUAUGCCCCCCCCCCCCAUCAUCACCAUUGAAAGGACAAAAUGACCCAGCCCCAGGGACACAGUGGAAAGGCAGAUGAACUCUGAAUUGUGGCAGAAUCUGAAUAAAGAUCUAUAAUUCUCUUCUAAUUCAGAAACUUGCUAAUUUAAGUCAUAUUUAGCCGUGUGCUUUGGGGUGUUGUCUAUACUCAACUGAUCCACAUAACCAACUGCCUGAUGGAUAAAGCAAAUUGCACAUCCCCCCAGAGCUUCUCAGAAAAGAAACUGUGAAAUCUCAGGUGCACUGGGAACAAGAUUAUGCUGGAUAGAAAUCAGCAACAAUGCAUCAAAUAUGCAUGUCCAAAUUAUAUCAUUAAAAUAGACUUCGUAUCCAGCCCCACUCAUGCAUAUAAAGCACUUGCAAUACACCCCACAAUGUCAAAACAAAGCAAUGGUGGGUGGAUUAACUCCUUCGAUUCUAUAUCUGUUAGCUACUCUGAAAGCAUCCCUCAAAUUCAGACCAGAAAUAGGUGACAAGUUUGAAAGUGUUUCAUCACUUCCCACAUAGCCAUUUCUUCUUUGUAUUAACCAUAAUGUAUCACAAACAUCAGUGAGAAGAUGCUAAUGUGUAAUCAUGGCCUCACAUUAAAAGACACUGGGCCACACCCAGGUUUGAUCGAGAUUUCCAUUCUGCUUUAAAGCAUAGACACUUGUUGGGGAAUUUUUCUUUUCAUGUGUAUUCAUUUGGCAAGAAAAUUUUGUUUGUCCAACCAGGACAAAGUCUUAAAAUAGCAGAACCAGCUCCAGCUGAUGGUAAUUUUUACUGCAGCAACACAAUUGUUAGGCUCCAGUCAGAAAAAACGUGUCAGAGGUGAGCAUUUGAGCUUUUUGAGCAUUUUGACCACUGGGAGUUUGUCUUCAUUUUUCCAUCCAAGACUGAGACAACAUCAGACCCAGAAGGCAAGGCAGUCAGUUUCUGUUCAGUUACAACCCUUUGAGAAAACCAUACUUACUUGCAUAGUUUUUUCCCUGAAUUUCCAGAUUAUGUAAACCUACCCAUUUCGUUUCAAUAGUAGAGCUAGGACUGCCCACUGCCCCCUGAGACAGCGUGCUAGUACUUUCUUCUUGGAAUAAUAUUGGAGGCAGACUUUCCUAAGGAAGAACUUUAGCCUUUUCUAGUCUCUGGGAUUGGUACAUUUUAGAAGACACUGUGCGUGCACAUGGCUAUAUAUAAUGGGAACAAUGAGUGGUUACUUCUCUUUAUUUUCACUGAUCUCCUUGAUCUCUGGUGACACUUCAAAAUGGAGAACUUACCUGUGAUCACUGCACCCUUAAGCUGUCAUCCACCACACUUUUAACUCCUUUCUACAUGCCUAUAAAAUGUGAUCACCCUAGGUACAUGGCUGCCUUAUCUGGGUUUUGAGAAGAAAUGUCUGUGUUCCACCAGCAAAGGCAUAACAUAAUCAAACAAGGAUGGAUGAAACUAGUCCCUGUGCCAGCUUCACUGUGUGUUCUCUGGGCUACCCAGAUAUUAGGGCUCCCUUAAAUCUCCUUUAGACCCAUUUCGCUGAGGACCUGAGACAUGUGGAACAGCAAGAAAAAAAGGCUUUUCUCUCUCGUUUCUUUGUGCUGAGUUCUAUUAUGAUAGAGCAUCAUAAGCAUAAGUUAGCUUAUUUUGUGGGUCAUCUAUUAGAAUUGGCUUGGUGACUUUCAGCAGGUACAGGCAUAGCCCCCUAGGCUCUUCUAUAAACAGAUGUUUGACGUCUAUGAGAUUUACGAUGUAAGCCUAUAUGAGGAUUUUUUUUUUUUUUUUUUGGUGUGUGUGGAAGGCUUAAUUACUUUCAGAGGUUUAACGAAUUUGGAAUGUGAACUAUUUGGUCAAAAAUGAAAAAUGAUAAUUAAAAGUAAAAAUUGCUUCACUGUGGAACCCAAACAAAGAUAUACUUUGGAAGCAUUUGUUUAUGUGAUCGCUGUUUAGGUUUUCCCACAAUCUGGGCUCUUUCUGGAAUCCAUAAAUACCAUGUUUACUAACAGAAUGAGCACUAGCAAUUAGCAAAGUUAUAACCAAGGCUGGGUAAAUAACUGCACUGUUUGCUAUGAAAAUUGCCAAUGAAAGACUCUCAUGAUUGUUCAGACAAUCUCAGACAAGACUUUCUGGAAGCUGUUGGUCUGGUGAAAAGGCAACAUUAUUCCAGAGAAAGAACAUGGACUGUGAAAUUAAAUAUGCAAGAAUGUGACUCUCAAUUUAGAGUUUAGUAUGCACGGACUCUAGUCUCAAUAUGUUAGCUAGGAAAUAGGAAUAAUAAUAAUGAUUUAAUAGAAUGUUAUUAAGGGUUAAAUAAAGAAUGAUACAAAAUAUGGUGUUAGGAUUAAUCCCUUUUGUUUUCUUGAUCCCUAAAGGAUAUCAUCUAAGAAUUAUGUUCUGUAAAUAUUUUCACUUAGGAGACACACAAAUUCAAUUUCAUUUCUACAUACCGCACCCUGUACUUCAGACCUUCAUAAACCUGCCAAAACGGCAUAAGGAAAUGCUUGCAUCAAAACUAAACAUGGUCUUCUACUUCUAGCAAGAUGAACGUCUAGAUGUUUAGGAAAAAAAAAACUUUGUAUUUUAAGUUUGUAGUUCAUCGAUAGAUGAUAGUUAAGUAGCUAGGUAGAUAGGCAGAUGAUAGAUGCUACUAGAUGAUAGAUAGAUAGAUAGAUAGAUAGAUAGAUAGAUAGAUAGAUAGACCAGUCAAAGGCAAAGGAUAUCCAUUCUAUUCUAUGGGAAGGGGAUAGUCUUAGUCUUGUGUAGGGUAAAAAAUUUAACCACAUAUGCUGCCCCUAAAUACCAAAAAUGGGGGGAAUCUAAAGAGAAAGAGUCUAGUAGUGGUUUAGGAACACAAUACUUGCUUUUCCUUGGCUCUUCAUGAUAGAAGAUGCUCAUUUAUAAUCUUAACAACUGUAGAGGAGAAAUUAAACAAGAAAGAAAAAUUUUAAAUUCUCAAGAAAUAAGAAAGUGAAGUUCUAAAAGAAUUGUGGGAAAGUAGAACACAAAGUAAAGC